rnacentral:rRNA from 1 species
UACGGGGGGGGCAAGCGUUGUUCGGAAUUACUGGGCGUAAAGGGCUUGUAGGUGGCCAACUAAGUCAGACGUGAAAUCCCUCGGCUUAACCGGGGAACUGCGUCUGAUACUGGAUGGCUCGAGUUUUGGGAGAGGGAUGCGGAAUUCCAGGUGUAGCGGUGAAAUGCGUAGAUAUCUGGAGGAACACCGGUGGCGAAGGCGGCAUCCUGGACCAACACUGACACUGAAAAGCGAAAGCCAGGGGAGCAAACGGGG